rnacentral:rRNA from 2 species
UACGGAGGGUGCGAGCGUUGUCCGGAAUCAUUGGGCGUAAAGGGCGCGUAGGUGGCCCAGUCAGCGUGCGGUGAAAGCUCGGGGCUCAACCCCGAGUCGGCCGUGCGAACUACUGGGCUGGAGCACUGUAGAGGCAGGCGGAAUUCCGGGUGUAGCGGUGGAAUGCGUAGAGAUCCGGAAGAACACCGGUGGCGAAGGCGGCCUGCUGGGCAGUUGCUGACACUGAGGCGCGACAGCGUGGGGAGCAAACAGG